rnacentral:rRNA from 1 species
UACAGAGGUCCCAAGCGUUGUUCGGAUUCAUUGGGCGUAAAGGGUGCGUAGGCGGCGCGGGAAGUCGGGUGUGAAAUUUCGGAGCUUAACUCCGAAACUGCAUUUGAUACUGGCGUGCUUGAGGACUGGAGAGGAGACUGGAAUUCAUGGUGUAGCAGUGAAAUGCGUAGAGAUCAUGAGGAAGACCAGUGGCGAAGGCGGGUCUCUGGACAGUUCCUGACACUGAGCACGAAGGCCAGGGGAGCAAACGGG